rnacentral:rRNA from 1 species
UUCCGCAAUGGACGAAAGUCUGACGGAGCAACGCCGCGUGAGUGAUGAAGGCCUUCGGGUCGUAAAACCUCUGUUGUUAGGGAAGAACAAGUAUCGGAGUAACUGCCGGUACCUUGACGGUACCUAACCAGAAAGCCCCGGCUAACUACGUGCCA